rnacentral:lncRNA from 1 species
GUUUGGAAACUCAUUAAAAUAAUAAUAUAACUCAUUAUCUACGUUAGUCAACGUUUAUUCAUAAAUCUGGUCGUUCACCGUCACGUGCGUAUUGUAUUUUUGCCCAAAUAACCAAUAGCAAUGUUUUAAGAAAGUUAGCUAUCCGUGACUCGAACAAUAGGGUAAAUAGGAAAUUGCUAUUGGUGGAUUUGGCAAAAAUACAAUAAACACGUGACGGUGAA